AGUGAACGCUGGCGGCAGGCCUAACACAUGCAAGUCGAACGGCAGCACAAGAGCGCUUGCUCUCUGGGUGGCGAGUGGCGGACGGGUGAGGAAUGCAUCGGAAUCUGCCCAUUUGUGGGGGAUAACCUCGGGAAACCGGGACUAAUACCGCAUACGACCUACGGGUGAAAGCAGGGGAUCUUCGGACCUUGCGCAGAUGGAUGAGCCGAUGCCGGAUUAGCUAGUUGGAGGGGUAAAGGCCCACCAAGGCGACGAUCCGUAGCUGGUCUGAGAGGAUGAUCAGCCACACUGGGACUGGGACACGGCCCAGACUCCUACGGGAGGCAGCAGUGGGGAAUAUUGGACAAUGGGCGCAAGCCUGAUCCAGCCAUGCCGCGUGUGUGAAGAAGGCCUUCGGGUUGUAAAGCACUUUUGUUGGGAAAGAAAAGCAGCCGGUUAAUACCCGGUUGUCAUGACGGUACCCAAAGAAUAAGCACCGGCUAACUUCGUG
rnacentral:rRNA from 1 species